rnacentral:rRNA from 3 species
UUAACGACUCUCGGCAACGGAUAUCUCGGCUCUCGCAUCGAUGAAGAACGUAGCGAAAUGCGAUACUUGGUGUGAAUUGCAGAAUCCCGUGAACCAUCGAGUCUUUGAACGCAAGUUGCGCCCUAGGCCAUCGGGCCGAGGGCACGCCUGCCUGGGCGUCACGC